ACCACAAACCGCCAGAGGCUUUUGUGACCCGCUUGAAAACGACAGUUCAGAAAAUAAAGGACGAGGACUUUGCUGAAGGAAGCAGGAUACUCAUCUGGUAAUCCUGUUGAUAGUGCAGCUUCCCCUCCAGCUACCGGUCCUGCAGGAAGACAACCAGCUCCUGCACCGGCAGUCCCAGCUCCUGUGCCCGAUCUGCUAAGUGACUUGAUGGGAUUAGAUAAUGCAGCAAUUGUCCCGGUUGAUGAACCCACAGCUUCGUCUGGUCCUCCGUUGCCCAUUGUCAUGCCAGCUUCUACCGGUCAAGGUCUGCAGAUAAGUGCUCAACUAACCCGAAGGGUUGGGCAAGUGUUCUACAGUAUGCUCUUCGAGAACAACACGCAGGUGGUGGUUGAUGGUUUCAUGAUUCAGUUCAACAAGAACACAUUCGGUCUUGCAACUGCUGGACCUCUUCAGAUUGUGCCUUUACAGCCAGGAACAUCUGCCAGUACAAUGCUACCUAUAGUCGUGUUGCAGAACAUGCCUGCUGGGCCUCCAAGCUCGCUCUUACAAGCAGCUGUCAAAAACAAUCAGCAGCCUGUUUGGGUACUUCAACGAUAAGAUUAUACUUCAUGCUCUUUUCGGUGAAGACGGUAGCAUGGAACGUGGAACCUUCCUCGAGACAUGGAGGUCGUUAGCAGAUUCAAAUGAAGUCCAGAGAGAGUUUCCAGGGAUCACCAUCACGAGCGUGGAAUCAACUAUUGAUUUGCUCGCAGCAUUCAACAUGUUCUUCAUAGCAAAGCGCAAGAAUGGGAACCAAGACGUGAUCUAUUUAUCAGCAAAGGUUCCGAGAGAUAUACGUUCUUGAUCGAACUCACUGCGAUGGUGGGCCAACCAGGUCUCAAAUGCGCAGUGAAAACUCCCACUUCUGAGAUUGCGCCUCUUUUCUUCGAAGCCAUGAUGAUUGACAAUUUUGCCAAGGUUUUCAGAUUUUUUUUGUUGUUUCUUUAUUUUGAUAUUUUCUAACGCCUGUUUAGUGUAUGUAA